GCUGUCGCUCAGUGGUAGAGCACAUCCCUUGCAUGCCAAAAGAUCCAGGUUCAAUUCCUGACAUCUCCA